GCUGUUAAGUUUAAGUAUAUAACUGGAAUGACAUGCUAUCAUACACUUUGAACUCUUUUCAAGAUGCCAUUUGGUUAUCCUGUCUUUUCUUAAUAUUUGCUCUUAACAAAACUCUUCAUUUUUGCUGUUUCUGUGUUCUGGUUGGGUUGGGCUUGUCCCAUUGGAUUCAAUACCCAAUGUACUGAAAGCUUUGAAACUGUCUUUGACUGAUUUUGCCGUGGUUCACAAGAUUGUUUAUGAUGUUACUUUUCACAUUCCUUCCCACAUUGCCAGGAUUUUCUCCUUCUUUUUGUUGUUUUUAUUAUUUUUUAGAGGAAAUGUUACUUUUAGGCUCCAGGUUAAACUGGUGGUAUAGACUCAAGCCCUCAAUAGUUGUAGGCCCCAAUUUUGGUCCCCAAGUUGCCCGCGAAGUGGCAAAACUCGUCCCUCAUUGAUGGAAUUGCUUAUGAACAUUAAAAGAUGAAGACAAAAGGGUUUCCUUCUAGUUCAGUGAAGUUUCCAGUUACCUUGGUUGAGCCACCUGAACCUCUUCUCCAACAAAUUCACAGCCCCAAUCCCUUCACUGCUAAGAAGUUAACCUCUUUGAGUAUGCUUGCAAAAGAAAGGGUUCAAUUAAUAUAAAUGUUUCAAAUAAUCACCUCAAUGAGUCAAUUCCUGUUACACUUAUCAAGUUCCCAGUGUCAUCUUCUGCCUUAAACAUUGGUCUACGCAAUGGCUCAUUGCCACUAUGCAACCCAUUUUUCCCUUCUCCCCACCUCCUCUAUCAGCCUAGCCCCAAAUCACCCCACACCAUAAAAAGUCCAAGAAGCUCUCUAAAACCACCAUUGUUGAAAUCAUAUUUGCCUUUGUACUUACCCUCAACCUUAUAUUGCUCAUUCUCCUCUUCAUUUGCCCAAUGAGAAAGUGAAGAAAACCAAAACCUAAGACACAGAAGCUAUCGACAAUCAAGAGGGCUGCUAUAGCCGGGGCGACUAGAGAGACCGAAUGUCCUUGUCGAGUUUUCUUGAAAAUUCUUCAUUUGAAAGAAAGAAAAAGAAAACAGAGGAGAGAGAAGGGUUAUUACUUGUUUGGUUGUUAGCUCAUAAUUUUUUGAGUCACCUUGUUUGAGAUUGAUUUUCCAGAUUUUAUUUUUCAUGCUAUAUUGCUAUUAUACAUUUGGGUCCUAGAAUUAGUGGCUA